rnacentral:rRNA from 1 species
ACGUGAUCUGAGUUCAGACCGGAGCAAUCCAGGUCGGUUUCUAUCUAUAACGGAGUUUUAUCUAGUACGAAAGGACCGAGAAAACAUGGCCUAUACUUCAUGCAAGCCAUACAUAACAACUUAUGACUUAAUCUUAAUAAGCAUUUGAUCUCCCACCAAACUCAAAAAAAGAGUA